rnacentral:pre_miRNA from 1 species
GAAACGGAAUUCUGGGGAAUGGUUUUCGGGGGAAUGGUUUUCUGGGGAAUGUUAUAGAAUCGGUAUUGAUUCUAUAACAUUCCCCAGAAAACCAUUCCCCCGAAACCCGUUCCCCAGAAUUCCAUUCC